GGAGGUGGGGGGCGGGCGACACACUCAGCAAAGCAGCUGAGGUGGAAAUGAGUGUGGUGAGGUGGGAGAACAGAAGGUAGGCCAGGGUGGCUGGAAGAUAGGCAGAGAGGAAUAGAAUGGGGAAGACGAGGCCACAAGGAGAAGACCCUGGAUUUCACGGCUAUUUGAGGCCAUGGUGAGGUCUUCUGAUUGUACUCCGAGUGUGCCGGAAAGGCACUGGAGUGUGGAAAGCAGAAGAAUGACAGGAUCUGAGGUAUGUUUUUAAAGAACUGAGGAGGACAAGACUGCAGGGCACAAAGGGCGGAGCCAGACAGGACUCUCUGGAACAGAGUGUGUGAGAGACAGAAGAGGGGGCGCUGGCUGGCAACGGUGGAGUUGAUGACAAGUGGUCAGACCAGCACAACUUCUGUCAGCUCUUCCUGAGAGGCUGGAUGGAGAAUGUGUGGAAACAAGAGGAGCUGAGGAUAUCUCCCAGGGCUUCCUGCUUUCUGAACAUAGUUCAGAGGUCCAGGUUCCUGAGUGAUUCUGGAAGCUUCACACCUCAGCUGACCUCUUUCCCAACCGGGACUUCCAUUUCCCCAUUCUCUCUGCGCACAAUACCAGGAGUCCACAUGCUUCCAGUACAGGAGACCAUCUGACACAUUAAUACUAAGACAGAAACUUUGCCCGAAUCUGUGUUAAGAUGUGAGGUAAGCUGGAACACUGGACAACAGAAACAUUCCUGGAAGACACGUGUAUACCAGGAUAACUAGGUAGGACAUGGAAGGGAUGGAAAACAUAUAAAUAUCUCCCACU